UAAUACGGAGGGUGCAAGCGUUAUCCGGAUUCACUGGGUUUAAAGGGUGUGUAGGCGGGCAGUUAAGUCAGUGGUGAAAUCUCCGGGCUCAACCCGGAAACUGCCAUUGAUACUAUCUGUCUUGAAUAUUGUUGAGGUAGGCGGAAUAUAUCAUGUAGCGGUGAAAUGCAUAGAUAUGAUAUAGAACACCGAUUGCGAAGGCAGCUUACUAAACAAUUAUUGACGCUGAGGCACGAAAGCGUGGGGAUCAAACAGGAUUAGAUACCCUGGUAGUCCACGCCCUAAACGAUGAUUACUCGACAUACGCGAUACACAGUGUGUGUCUGAGCGAAAGCAUUAAGUAAUCCACCUGGGAAGUACGUCCGCAAGGAUG
rnacentral:rRNA from 1 species